rnacentral:lncRNA from 1 species
GAAACUUCUGUUUUAUUUAUUUAUUACCUAUUUAUUAGAUGAUGUCACUUGAUUUUAUAUGCAACUGUAAAUGCUAUUAUAUUUGCUGUUUAAAAACUAUUUAAAAGAUCUAAUUUUGGAGAAAGUAUUGUAUCAUACUCAAAACAUAAAUAGCUUUAAUUUGCUAAAGAUAUUUAGUUUCUUAAGCAUUCUAAAAUUCAUCAUAUCUAUGCUUUAUUGAGAAAAUAUAAAAUGUAAUGAAGAGAAAACAAAUAAAGAAAGGCUUUUUUCCAUCUGCCCCAUAUAUCUGCCUGUACCGCAUAAACAUAAGAGAUCUUUCUAAUGGAAUACAGAAUAAAGUAACAUGUGUGGCUAUAUUAAUUUAGAAUUACUGAAUGCAUUUUAGUACAUAACCCAACUAAAUUAAUUGUGAAAGUGUAUUUUAUUUUGAAUUACUGAAUGUGUUCAAAUAAAAUUAAAAUGCAUAUUCAAAAUCAAAACAUGAAAUAUUUUUUAAAGGGUGUGUGCCAUCUUCAUCCCUCACUGAAGGUAAUGGGAGUAUUUUGCACAGCAGUGACAUGCAGUUUUAAAGAGAGUGCAUUUUCUUCUGCUGACUGCUUUUUCAGGCUCAUCCUGGUAGAAGAAAAGGCUGAAAAUGAUAUCUCCAAUUUAUUACUGCAUUUGUCUGGGGGCACUUUUCUGAUUGAAAUGACACUAAAUCCACUGGGAAGUAGAAGCUGUGGGCUUCACGAGGAUGCAACCCACACAGCUGUGAUCAAACCUUUGAUCUGUUACCACGACUGUCAAAAUAAACUGAUAUGAAAUAUGAAAAAAAGAGAGUUCUUAUUUUUAACUGCCAGAU